GUGCUCUCUUCAGCAGCACAUCUACUAAAAAUUGGAUGGAUACAGAGAAGAUUAGCAUGGCCCCUGCACAAGUGAUCAGGCCAGAUACAGUUUUUUUUUUU
ensembl:snRNA U6 U6 spliceosomal RNA